UACGAGUGCCUCAAGCGUUAUCCGGAAUCAUUGGGCGUAAAGGAUGUGUAGGUGGUCACAUUAGUCUCCUGUUAAAUUUCCCGGCUUAACCGGGAACAUGCAGGGGAAACGGUGUGACUAGAGGGUGCAAGGGGUCUACGGAACUCAUAGUGUAGCGGUGAAAUGCGUUGAUAUUAUGGGGAACACCAAAAGCGAAGGCAGUAGACUGGGGCACUCCUGACACUGAAACAUGAAAGCGUGGGUAGCGAAUGGG
rnacentral:rRNA from 1 species